rnacentral:tRNA from 6 species
GGCGGGGUGGCAGAGUGUUUAUGCUAUAAGGGGUGCAACCCUUAUACAGGCCGGUUCAAAUCCGCGCCCCCGCCUCCA